CCAUUUCGCUAAACAUAGACGUGCAAAUAUUCUCUCAUCUCUCUCGUUACUCAUUUCGUUCUUUAGCACAAAUGUCAGAACAAGAGCUUGUAAUCAUCACUAAUAAAUGGAGAAGCUCUUUAACGAAGAGAUUCCUCCAGCCGGAGAUCUCUUUUAAAUCCGGGCAACCGAAAAUUGUUGCUCGAUGCGCAAAGUGCAAUUAUGAGUGCGCCAUCUGCCCUAUACUGGCCAACUACCAGCAACUGAAGAUGAUUAAAGAAUUUUUCAAGAAUCUUCACAAAAGCU